rnacentral:rRNA from 1 species
AUGCAAGUCGAGCGAANGAUAAGGAGCUUGCUCCUUUGACGUUAGCGGCGGACGGGUGAGUAACACGUGGGUAACCUACCUAUAAGACUGGGAUAACUUCGGGAAACCGGAGCUAAUACCGGAUAAUAUUUCGAACCGCAUGGUUCGAUAGUGAAAGAUGGUUUUGCUAUCACUUAUAGAUGGACCCGCGCCGUAUUAGCUAGUUGGUAAGGUAACGGCUUACCAAGGCGACGAUACGUAGCCGACCUGAGAGGGUGAUCGGCCACACUGGAACUGAGACACGGUCCAGACUCCUACGGGAGGCAGCAGUAGGGAAUCUUCCGCAAUGGGCGAAAGCCUGACGGAGCAACGCCGCGUGAGUGAUGAAGGUCUUCGGAUCGUAAAACUCUGUUAUUAGGGAAGAACAUACGUGUAAGUAACUGUGCACGUCUUGACGGUACCUAAUCAGAAAGCCACGGCUAACUACGUGCCAGCAGCCGCGGUAAUACGUAGGUGGCAAGCGUUAUCCGGAAUUAUUGGGCGUAAAGCGCGCGUAGGCGGUUUUUUAAGUCUGAUGUGAAAGCCCACGGCUCAACCGUGGAGGGUCAUUGGAAACUGGAAAACUUGAGUGCAGAAGAAGAAAGUGGAAUUCCAUGUGUAGCGGUGAAAUGCGCAGAGAUAUGGAGGAACACCAGUGGCGAAGGCGACUUUCUGGUCUGUAACUGACGCUGAUGUGCGAAAGCGUGGGGAUCAAACAGGAUUAGAUACCCUGGUAGUCCACGCCGUAAACGAUGAGUGCUAAGUGUUAGGGGGUUUCCGCCCCUUAGUGCUGCAGCUAACGCAUUAAGCACUCCGCCUGGGGAGUACGACCGCCAGGUUGAAACUCAAAGGAAUUGACGGGGACCCGCAC